CCAGCCGCUCCGGGGAGCUGCCGCCUCCGCGCCGCCGCCUCCAUGGCCGCCACGCUCGGCCUCGCCUUCCGGGAGGAGAGACGGAUGCGCGUGCCGCGCGGAGCCUCGGCGCCUAGCGCGGGGAAGGCUGGGCGGGAGGAAGGAAGCCUUGCCUAGCCGGGCUUGAGAGUACUGAAUGGAGGUGAACCUGGGAUCCAGAAUGAUCAAGCUGUGAGGUCAUCAAAAGAUCUGGGGUCUAUGAGUCCUUUAAAUUGUACUGGAAGCACUCCUUCCUCGAAUUAAAGACUGAGCAAUCAACUAUCACCUGUACUUUGAUGGGUGAAGAGUACAGCGAAUUCUCUCCUAGUUGGGGGGCAGUGAGAUGAUCCAGAAUCCAGUCCUGGCUUUGUCAUUCGGGCUUGGCUUGCAAUGACCCACCCCUCGAACUCCCACACCCUGUCCAAAGGCUGGCUAGUAUGGAAGAAAGGAUCAGAAAGAAGAACACUGCUCAGGGAAAUGAGUGACUGAUGCUGGCAUGGGGAGGAACAAGUUUAGACUGGACCCCUCCAUCCCUGAGAACCUCAGGAAGCAGCUCAGGAAGGGCACUGGCAGGAGACUGGCAUAUGUGUGCAUUACAGUCUCAGCCCAUCCACAGGUGGGGGAGAAGAGGCAGAACUGAAGAUGGAGGAGGGGCAGCCUGUAGGGAGGGCUCCAAGCUCUAAUGAAGGUCUCGGACUAUAACAGUAAGCAGGGAGGGGGGCACAUGCACAGUGGUGUGGGAGUAUCUUUUUUGGAUGCAUGGCUGUAAGGGGAGAGGAGUUUAAGUGUGACCACGUUCUGCAUCUAAGGGGGUGGAGCAAGUACAGGGUAAAUGAGACGUCAUUUUUGGGAACAUGAACCUUGGGUUGGGUCAGGAUGCUGCCGGACCCAUGGUUCUGAAGCUCAGUCAACACAUUGGUGGGAGCCUGGCAGAACAUAGAACCCAAGAAGACAAUCUCCCUCUGAGAAAAGAGAACAGAAACCAAACAUGAGAAGUACCUGCAAGGCACGCUGUCUGAGGACCAGUCUAGCUGUGGCUCAGAUAAAUUGCUCAGCCCCUCCCAGACUCAGUUUACUCCUCUGUAACAAAGGGAAAGCUGUUUCCCCUAUCGCUUUGAGAGUACGGUGGUUAAAGAAAUGCACGAGCCUCUUGCA